AUAAAUAUUACAUGAAGAAGCCAACCUUCAGCUUCUUCCCCAAAAUUCACUUGACCAUAGCUUGAAGUUGACAUUGUGAUAAAGGAAACUUGGGCAUGCAAGUUAACACGAGCACAUCCACUCAAGAAAUAUUUAUCAUGCAAUAAUUACUCUGGUCAACUCACAGAUUUCAGAUGAGAAUGAGAUUUUCUCUCCAAGCCACUGCAGCUAUACGGUAUAAAUAAUAUCAAAUUGAUAUCAAUAUAUCCACCGUCAGAUAUUUCAUAGUGUAUUUAUUAAAUAUUGUACUAGUUAUUAAUAGUUUCUUCCAUAUAUUUGGUCAAACUUAGAAAUAGUUAACUUUUUAACUGAAUUUAUAAGCCAUCUAUUUAGAGAUGGAGGGAAUAUUGCAUUUUCGAGUCCAUGUACAUGCUGCCAACAAAAGUAGUUCACACCGAAACAACCAUAUGAUAAAUAAGCCUACAGCCUACUGAAUGUCUGUUUAAUUACUAGUGCAGGUUCUUGUAUGAUACGAGCUCGAUGAUCUACAUUGUUCCAUGCCAAGCACAUGCCUACCAAUAUCAUCAGCAAGUGUUGGUCCCCCCUUAUCCAACCGUCAGCAGGUGUUGGUCUCGACAAACUAUAGUUUCUUGAUUUUAUUACAUUAGCACCAUCCCUUUUUGGAAACAAUAAAACAUUGGUGUGAUCUUAUUUUAUACAAGCUCGAUCAUCUCCACUGUUCCAUGCUGAACACUGCCUAUUUAUAGCAUCAGCAAGUGUUGGUCCCCCAAAGCAUCAGCAAGUGUUAGUCUCCCCAAACUACAGAUUCUUGAUUUUAUUACAUUCGCACCAUCCCCUUUUGGAAAUAAUAAACAUGCACGUAGUUCUUAUUUUAUACGAGCUCGACCAUCUCCACUGUUCCAUGCUGAAUACAUGCCUAUCAAUAGCAUCAGCAAGGGUUGCUUCCCCAAACUACAAAGUAAUGCAUUCAAGGUAUUUCUUGCCAUUACAGUAGCAUCAGCAAGGGCUGCUUCAUAUGGUUUCUCUUGCAGUCUACUAGUAGCAUCAGCAUGAUAAGUGCUCUUCUAAUAAAUAAUUUCACACUUUUUGGCACGUUUUCGAGCAAAAAACAAGUAAUACCAACACAUAAAAGUGAAAGGGCUGACAAGAGAAAUCAGGUACCUCAAUCUGGUGCACCUUCCCUCCUUGACCACAGGAGCAAACAACAGCUUUGUGUUUUCAAGUUCACGCAUAUCCUGCCAACAUGAAGAACUCGCACAGAAAGCUGGUAUACAUUAGUUCACUAGACAUCCAAAUAACAAUGAUGCAAAGUAGUUGUUAUUUCUUAAGACAUUCAGUUACUAGUGCAAGGUCUUAUUUGGUAUGUGCUCAAUGAUAUCCACUGUUAGAUACUGAAUAAGGGCAGCCCCUCCUCCCCAAAGGACAAAUUCUUAUAUUUGCACCACCCCCUUCUGGAAACAAUAAAUAUUGAAGCAGGCACUGGUCCACUCUUUGCAAGAUUGAUAUACAUAGAUAUUACAUGAAGAAGCCAACCUUCAGCUUCUUCCCCAAAAUUCACUUGACCAUAGCUUGUAGUUGACAUUGUGAUAAAGGAAACUUGGGCAUGCAAGUUAACACAAGCACAUCCACUCAAGAAAUACUUAUCACACAAUAAUUACUCUGGUCAACUCACAGAUUUCAGAUGAGAAUGAGAUUUUCUCUCCGAGCCACUGCAGGUAUCCGGUAUACACUUCCUAUUAACAGACACUGAUACACUACCAGCUCCCGGCUUUGCUGAGGCUGUAUCCUCUUGACAGUAACAUUACACCAACUCAA
rnacentral:lncRNA from 1 species